rnacentral:rRNA from 1 species
CCUACGGGGGGCAGCAGUAGGGAAUUUUCGUCAAUGGGCGCAAGCCUGAACGAGCAAUGCCGCGUGAACGAGGAAGGUCUUCGGAUCGUAAAGUUCUGUUGAAGGGGAAAAAGAGCGGAGAGAGGAAAUGAACUCCGAUUGAUAUUACCCUUCGAGGAAGUCACGGCUAACUACGUGCCAGCAGCCGCGGUAAUAAGUAGGUGGCGAGGGUUGGCCGGAUUGAUUGGGCGGAAAGGGUGCGUAGGCGGCCUGCUAAGUCUGGAGGGAAAGGUACCGGCUCAACCGGUACAGGCUCUGGAAACUGGCGGGCUAGAGAGCAGGAGAGGGCGGUGGAACUCCAUGUGUAGCGGUAAAAUGCGUAGAUAUAUGGAAGAACACCAGUGGCGAAGGCGGCCGCCUGGCCUGUUACUGACGCUGAGGCACGAAAGCGUGGGGAGCAAAUAGGAUUAGAUACCCUUGUAGUC